rnacentral:rRNA from 1 species
GACGGGGGGUGCUAGCGUUGUUCGGAAUUACUGGGCGUAAAGGGCGCGUAGGCGGCUUGAUAAGUUAGACGUUAAAGACCUGGGCUUAACCUGGGGGCUGCGUUUGAGACUGUUGAGCUGGAGUGCAGGAGAGGAAAGUGGAAUUCUCGGUGUAGAGGUGAAAUUCGUAGAGAUCGAGAGGAAUAUCCGAGGCGAAGGCGGCUUUCUGGACUGCAACUGACGCUGAGGCGCGAAAGCGUGGGGAGCAAACAGG